CCUUGGACAAAUUUUGGGAAGAGGAGCACGACUCGGAGGUAUGAGCCCCAGCAAGGGCCAUCACAGCUGCGCUGACAAGCAAGUCUUGUACUUGAACAGGUCCCUGUUUACCGAUGGCGAAAACUCAUCCUUGAUCCAGCUUACUUCUGCAAAUGUUGACCAACAGACAAUUCUCUUCAUGCCUUAUUCAUAACAUCAAAUUUCUCAACCUGAUGGCAUCUGUCAAGGAUCUCUAAAGCCGAUGGAUUAAACUUGUGUUUUUCUCGUGUGUUCAGUAAUCAGUAUACAUGGUUAUCUUCGUAGGCUAAUUUCACUUUUGAUGAACUGAUGAUAAAGCGACAAUGGAAUCAGAAGGUGAGCUAAAAAUAAUCUUGUUAUCUAUUGUUGUUGCAAAUUUUCCAGUAUGCGUGUAUCUAUAUCAUAAAAAAGGAAGCAAGUUUAUACCAUGAUUAUAAUGUCCUACUGAUGUGCUUAUUGUAUCGAUGAAACAUCUCGAAUGUAUUUCUUUUUACAAAUCUAAUUACUUGGAUUCUUUUUUUCUUUCGUUUUAUAUUUAACAUUAAAGUUUGCUUUUCUAUCUUUUCUGAUUCACAAAUUACGGUCAUGCCAAUGGAAAUGAUGAAUACACUUCUAUAGUUGGUCGUAAAACCAGUCGAGCAUCUGGCCAAACCCAUUUGCGAUGCAGGCCCAAAAAACUUCAUCAUUCAUUCUGCAAGCUGCCUAAAGAAAAAACAGCACCACUGAAACAUACAGUAUGACUUAAAGGUAGCAAUAAAAAAACCAUCUCUGGUUCAUUAAUUGGUUCGGAUAAUCAAAUUAUUCAAUUGAAACAUGUGAGAAACUAUUAUAAAAAGAAUCUGGAUGCAUCAUAUUAAAACUGGAAUAGGGGCAGCGGCAUCGGUCGUAAUGACCAUCUGCUGGAAGGCGAUGCGGUUGGCGAGAAUUUGCUUAGCUCUUUCGAUGACGCCACACGGGCAUUCGUGAAUUCCGAGUAAGCCGCGACCCGGUUUGACAGGGUGAGGGAUGCGGGAGUGGUUGACAAUGAGGUGGCCCUGUCUAAGGGCACCCAGUAGACUGAGAAAGGAACAUUGUUUCUGUAACACAAUGAUAUUUAGACUUUCAGAGCACCCCCUGCACUACGUGAGAUUUAGAAGGUAUUCAGAUUAGUGUUUGCUGAUAUCUGUAAAUUCCGUUUGUGUGAGUUUUAUAUUUUUCUAUCCCUGUCGACGUAGUAAUCCACUGUUCAUUGAUGUGCAGGUGGUACGGCCGGCGGAUGCAUCCAUGUGCUAAUCAUCUGGCACCAUGCGGACGGAGCCGUACGAGUUGGGGCCACCAGCUGGCUGACAGCGCACACAUGGGCGAGCAUGAGCAACAUGGAGCUAGGGAGUAAGCUGGGAGCGGAUGGACGGGGCGUGAGGUAGAAUGGGGGUGGGGAGCGGGCGGACUGUGGACAGAAGAGAACAACACCGGGUUUGUUAAUUACUUUAUGCACGAUCACAGAUUUAUCUCUUUAUUUAUGUGGCUUAUCAGGCUUGCUGCACGAUCACAGAUUUAUCUCUUUAUUUAUGUGGGUGGACAGAAACAUCCUUUCUAAAGUUUUCUUGGGGCUGUACUAACGAACAACUUGUUCAGUGAUACCAACCCCUUCGAGCUCCCUCAACCCUUCGACAACACUUAUUCAGUUUCUCACCACAAGUAGUAAGAGACAUGAUCAGAUCGCUAACCAGUGAUGAAGGCGUUAUGUGGUCGUUGACGUCAUGCUAAAUGUUGGUGUAGUGCCAAAUAAGAAGAUACGGAACAAAAUCCCUAAGCUAGACAUUAUGCGUGGAUGUAGGUGGAUGUGGGCGCUGUGGCCGCCACCAAGGAUGUAGGGGUCGCGCCCCAAGCUGCAAGUACGUGGUAGGGCGUCAAAACUGACGAGGACACGGGAGCCGCACUGCAGCAUGAGUGUUUUUCAUAAUUUAUUUAGUGGUGAAAUUUUCAGGCCUAUGAACUGGAUGAUAUUUUCAUUGCUGGCAAUCUUCAUCAACCUAUCUAUGAGGACAUUGAUAUACUAAUUGCUGCAUAAGUGUUCUCAGCACCGGCUAGCAAGAAGAGAGUAUGAUUGUUCAAUGCUCACUGUUGUAAGCUUGUUUCACGAGGAGCUUCUCAGUGUUGUACAUGUAGGGUGUGGAUAAUAUAAAUAAAAUCUAUUUGUUCAUUCUUCUACUGUACCUCCGAUUCGUCCCCCACGGUUCAGUAGAGUACAGUUAUGUGCUAAAGUAUUAGGAAGUCAUCAUCUUCUAAAACAUAUUGUUACCUACUCAACCCAGUAAGCAAAUAAAGAGUGUGGUGAACUUAACACCUUUCUAUCUUUAUUUUUUGUUUCUCUUAUUCAUAGCAUCUUUUCCCCAUUUAUAAAUCUAACGGUGGUGAACUUAGACUUUGUGUAAGGAGAGCCAUUCUGUUUUCUUGAACUUAACAACUCCAUAUAUCCUUAUUUAUCCAGAAAGCUUUCAGACGA